GCCCAAAGACCAUUGAAAAUAUUUUGAAACUUAGAGCAUGUCCAGCAGAUUCCCCAUCUACAUCUACUCACCUAUUUUGGAGAAAAUGAAGAGAAACCUCCUUAGUACUUUUUCCAACAUCAUUCGUUCAUGGUUGGAAGGAAAGAUCAGCAUCAAUUAUCCUGGGCGUGUCAGCAUGUCAGAGUGUCUGACACUUUGAGGUUUGGGAGUGUCCGUGCAACCUAGGCUUCAAGGACGAGAUGGACAAGGUGGAGAAGUGGAGAAGAGCGCUUACUGAUGUUGCAAAUCUGGGAGGGAUGGUUCUAGAAGAUCGGGUAUGAGUGGCAGUUUAUCCAAGAUAUUGUUCAAGAGGUUGGAAGUAAGCUGGAUCGCGUGGCAGUAAAUGUUGCUCCCUAUGCUGUUGGAAUCGAUAAUUGUGUGCACGGAAUCAACAGAUGGUUAAAAGAUGAUUCGGGUGAUGCUGGUGCAGCGGUUAUCUAUGGGAUGGGUGGAAUUGGCAAAACCACCAUUGCCAAAGCUGCUAAUAAGACGAACCUUGCAAAAUUUUAAGGAAACGACAGCUUUCUUGCAGAUAUUGGCUUGCAAAUAAAUCUUCUUUCCGAUAUCCAAAGGGUGAAAGUAAAGAAAAUAAGCAAACAUGAAGGACUGAUCAAGAUUAAGCAUGCUGUAGGUUGCAAUAGAGUUCUUAUAGUUCUUGAUGAUGUGAACCAUUUGGACCAAUUCAAUGCAAUUCUUGGAAUGCGAUAGUGUUUUCA